CAGUGAUGUCACUUGGAUGAAGGCGACAGUGGAUGUUUCUCGAAGGAAGAAUGCUGAGGAGAGGUGUAUGCUCAAAGAAGUACAGCACAAAAGACAGUGAUGAACAAGUCUGCUGCCCCUGGGGGAGGAAAGUGCAAAGUGCAUGUGUGAGACACGGAAUACUCAAUCACAUGGCAUCUUUGGAAAGCUCCGUAGAAAACCAUCCACUGACCUGAAGUGCCACAGCUGGGAAUCGAACCCAUAACCUCGUUCUCAACACCUCAACACCAUAUAGCCACUGCAGAUAGGCAAGGGGCCAACCUUCCUGCAGUGAGUAUCUUCCUACUGGUACAGGCUGCACACACUCCAUUUCAACCUCCCAUUUCAAGUCAACGAUGAUCAAAGGAUUGUCACUCUCGGCCUAAGCUCGGAGCGAAUGAGCCGCACAUUCUUGUUAUCCAAGGAAGGUAUGGAAACAGCCCGAUACAGUUGUCAUAACUGACACGACACUCUGCAACACAAGCAAGCCUGUAGAAAUUGGUACGCUACAAUAAAGUGUGACUCUUGCC
rnacentral:lncRNA from 1 species